UAGGGAAUCUUCCGCAAUGGACGCAAGUCUGACGGAGCAACGCCGCGUGAGUGAAGAAGGAUUUCGGUUCGUAAAACUCUGUUGUUAGAGAAGAACAGCGCAUAGAGUAACUGUUAUGCGUGUGACGGUAUCUAACCAGAAAGCCACGGCUAACUACGUGCCCGCAGCCGCGGUAAUACGUAGGUGGCAAGCGUUGUCCGGAUUUAUUGGGCGUAAAGCGAGCGCAGGCGGUCAAUUAAGUCUGAUGUGAAAGCCCCCGGCUCAACCGGGGAGGGUCAUUGGAAACUGGUUGACUUGAGUGCAGAAGAGGAGAGUGGAAUUCCAUGUGUAGCGGUGAAAUGCGUAGAUAUAUGGAGGAACACCAGUGGCGAAGGCGACUCUCUGGUCUGUAUCUGACGCUGAGGCUCGAAAGCGUGGGUAGCAAACAGG
rnacentral:rRNA from 1 species